GAGUUAAGUUCGCAUGCUUCAUGUGACUUGUGAACAGCAAUCUACUUCCAUUGACUGCUUACAUAAGAAUAAUACAAAAAGGAAUAGUUAGCGCAACACGACUAGAUCAUAAACAGAAAGAUUGAUCAUACAUACAUUCUUGUGGAAGAGCUUCCAAGAAAGACUUCAAGUGCACUUGUCUGGGCAUCUCAUCGAGAACUAUAAAAUAUCACGUUCCUUGCAGGUGUUGGGAAAGCAUAUCUCGGAGGCUUCGAUUGUCCAUAUUCUCCAAUAAGGAAGAUGUAUGGAGAUUAUGAGGAUCUUCUACCUGUUGUAUUAG
rnacentral:lncRNA from 1 species